GUAGCACCUGGCCCAAAGGCCGGGUGAGGAUUGAAAC
rnacentral:other from 1 species